GCUUACGGCCAUACCACCCUGAGAACGCCCGAUCUCGUCUGAUCUCGGAAGCUAAGCAGGGUCGGGCCUGGUUAGUACUUCGAUGGGAGACCACCUGGGAAUACCAGGUGCUGUAAGCU
rnacentral:rRNA from 1 species